rnacentral:piRNA from 1 species
UGCCUGCCCUUGAGGCCGAGAGUGGU